GCCACCCUCUCUCCAAGUUGUUCCUUUUUUCUCUUUUUUUAAUACGCGGAUAUAGGGCAAUUAGUCAAUGUAUUUGAUUUCUAAUAGCAAGCCAACCAAAAUAGUUCCACUCGAGUCCUUUCACACGGCUUUUGAUUGCUUAUGAUAAAUAAAUUUUCAGUUAUGCAAAAUUGCAAACUGAAAACAAAUAGUUUUUGAGGUUUUAUCCAGGGAUGAAUCCAAAAAAUCUGGUAUUUCUGCUGGCUGCUUCACUCCAAAUUUGUAGCAUAGCAGCACUGACUGACAUGGAUGAUUUUGCUGCAUUGAAGGCUCUUAUGGAUUCGUGGGAAAACACGCCACCUAGCUGGGAAGGUACAGACCCUUGUGGAGACCAAUGGGACGGCAUAAAGUGCAUCAAUUCACGUGUGAAUUCCAUGUAAUUAAUUGGCAAUACUUCAUCUUUUAAUGCUAAUUGAGGCUGGCAAAUUCUUUCUUCUCCUGAUUUUGAGAUUAACCUCACUAUUCUUAAUUGCAG
rnacentral:misc_RNA from 1 species